UACGUAGGGUGCGAGCGUUAAUCGGAAUACUGGGCGUAAAGCGUGCGCAGGCGGUGAUGUAAGACAGUUGUGAAAUCCCCGGGCUCAACCUGGGAAUUGCAUCUGUGACUGCAUCGCUAGAGUACGGUAGAGGGGGUGGAAUUCCGGCGUGUAGCAGUGAAAUGCGUAGAUAUGCGGAGGAACACCGGAUGGCGAAGGCAAUCCCCUGGACCUGUGACUGACGCUCAUGCACGAAAGCGUGGGAGCAACAGG
rnacentral:rRNA from 1 species